UGUUCCUGAGUCUGAACUCGUACCGCAACAUAAAGUUUACUUCACUCUCAACUGGAAAACAUGAAAGGAUCCUUCACAAGCCCAUAACUCGAGGCUAUACCUCGAAUCACGGUGGAAUUCAAACACCUAAUAGUUCUUCUAUCAUCCAACAGACCUUCCUCGUCACUUCCAAGUCACAUAGAUACAUCUCACAGUACUUACAUAAUCAUCAUAUAGCUAUCCAGCCGUCACUUCCACUAAUAGAGACAAUAUCGAACAUAUAAGUUCAAAACACUUGCUCACACAAUCAGCACCUCGAUGCUCAAGCCAUAGGCAAAGAUUCGGCCUCAAGUCCUCCAGACUGUCCCAACAUCGAACUCACAUAGAUCACAUCUUU
rnacentral:lncRNA from 1 species